CCUACGGGAGGCAGCAGUGGGGAAUAUUGGGCAAUGGGCGCAAGCCUGACCCAGCAACGCCGCGUGAAGGAAGAAGGCUUUAGGGUUGUUAACUUCUUUUAAGGGGGAAGAGCAGCAGUCGGUACGCCUUGAAUACGACACGGCUAACUACGUGCCAGCAGCCGCGGUAAUACGUGGGUGGCAAGCGUUGUCCGGAUUUACUGGGUGUAAAGGGUGUGCAGCCGGAGAGACAAGUCAGAUGUGAAAUCCACGGGCUCAACCCGGGAACUGCAUUUGAACCUGUUUCCCUUGAGUGUGGGAGAGGUAAGCGGAAUUCCUGGUGUAGCGGUGAAAUGCGUAGAUAGAAGGAAGAACACCAGUGGCGAAGGCGGAUUACUGGACGAUAACUGACGGUGAGGCGCGAAAGCGUGGGGAGCAAACAGGAUUAGAUACCCGGGUAGUC
rnacentral:rRNA from 1 species